rnacentral:rRNA from 1 species
GAUGAACGCUAGCGGCAGGCCUAAUACAUGCAAGCCGAACGGCAAGUCUUUUAGUCAAUAGAAGACCUAGAGUGGCGUAAGGGUAGCGUAACACGUAUGCAAUCUGCCCUCAACAGGAGGAUAGCUCCCCGAAAGGGGAAUUAAGCCUCCAUAGGAUCGUAAUGUGGCAUCACAUAGCGAUUAAACUACCAGGGGUUGAGGAUGAGCAUGCGCAUGAUUAGUUAGUUGGCGGGGUAACGGCCCACCAAGACGAUGAUCAUUAGGGGAACUGAGAGGUUGAUCCCCCACACUGGCACUGAGAUACGGGCCAGACUCCUACGGGAGGCAGCAGUAGGGAAUAUUGGACAAUGGGUGCAAGCCUGAUCCAGCCAUGCCGCGUGCA